UAAAUUGAUAGUAGUGAUAUAGUUUAGGGGAUAAAAUUAUAAUAACCCUUUUCGUUCCACCACCACCCACUUCCACCAUUCUCACCCACCACCACUGCUGACCACCUCUUACUCCUUUCUUGCCACAUGAAAUCAACUAACCGGUACUAGUACUACUAUAGCAGUCAAAUUAGAAAGUAAUCUGAAACCCAGUUCCAGAAUCUUGGUCAAAUCUUUCAGCCUCAAUGGUCUUCAAAGAUGCAGAUGCAGCUUUAAACUCGGGUAAGGCCCCUUCUUUUGCCAAGGCAAGCUUGAGCAGCACCAUAGCAGCAGCCUUCCUCGUUGUCCUAUCCUAAUUGCUCAAAAACUCCACCAGACAUAUUAGCAAGUUACUCAGCUUCAUCCUGAAGAGGCCACCAUUGACCUCGAUCAUGAUUUUCAUGAACCCCAAAUAAGAGGGAUGGUAGUGGAAUUAAAAGGGUGUGCAUAAGAGGGAGAAGGAAGGGGAAGACGAGAGAGAGAAAAUGGGUGUAUUGCUUUUGGCUUGCAAAAUUAGAGUUUGGGUGGAAAAAAAUUAGAAAAAAUAAAAAUUUACUCAACGUUAAACAAGUUAUCAUGAUAUUCAAGUUAUAAAAUUUGACAUAAAAUGCGAGGAAUUGACCAAAAAUGAACAAUUUUUUAUUUGUUAGAGACUAAAAUCACUCAUAUUAAUUGUGAGGGAUUAUAUUUUCACGUCAAUAAUACAUGAGGAACGAUUGGUUUCACCACCAACAUUGAUUUGAGCUGUACUUCCUGUUCUGAAUGCUCCAAUAGAAUUUGCUGAUUACUUGCUCUAAAUUUGAAUGUGAUCAGGCUAAUUAUGUCCAACAAGUGUCUCAAAGUUGCAUGGUUUUUUGUGUCCCAGCGUAGUGUAUGGUGUCCUUUCAAUUGAGCCCUUGGUUUCGGUCUAUUCAUACUUAAAUCUUGACAUGAGCCAAUUUAAUCCUCAAAAUAUAAAAUUAGUCAUACUUAAAGUAAAAUCGUUGAUGUAAAUGAAAUAGACUUUAUAGUUAAAUGGGAUAAAUUCUACACUUUGGUGACUAAAGUGGAAUAAACUCAUCAUUUAAGGAUUAAGGUGUGAUAGAUUUCAUAUUUUAGAAACUAAAGUGUUCAUCCAUGUAGCGUUGAAGGUUGUAAAGUGAAAUUAACCAGUUGAUUAUUAAACUGAAAAAGUAAAAAAGUCAAGUUGGUAAUCUUCCAUCACAAAAAGCUUGAUACACUUGCACACAAUAUCCUAUUAUCAAUAUCAAAAUGUGUUGCACUUUGGACAGUGCAACUCAUAGAUUCAUAAUUACAUGACUUGACGUUUCUCAUACUUUAUUUGAAAUAACAUAGCUCUAAUAUCUAUGCUAUUAGGCCUCUCUUUGGGAUUUUCCAAUGUGCAAAAGCAAGCAAUCUUGAGGACUAAAAGCAUUUGCUCCUCGUAUCCAUUGCCCAAGAGCUUAGGAUCGAUUGC
rnacentral:lncRNA from 1 species